AUGGGCAUCAUCUCAAUACACAAGGCAUCUUUGUUCAAGAGGUUCUCAAAGUUUGACCAAAGAAUUUUUUUGAUCAAAAUUGAGGUCAAUGUUCCAAAUAUGAGAAAAUAUGGUCCUUGGUUGAAGGAAGUCAAAUCAAAAGAUCACAACACAAGAUUGUUGAGUUUUCUGAAGCAUUCUAAGCAUAAAGAGGGCAGUGAACUCUUACUCCACUUGGUAUUGGAUUGGAGUGGGAAAGUUUAUGGACUGUUCUCAUAUCCUGGAUCAUCCUAG